rnacentral:rRNA from 1 species
GACGAACGCUGGCGGCGUGCUUAACACAUGCAAGUCGAACGAAGUGGCGAACGGGUGAGUAACGCGUAAUCAACCUGCCCUUCAGAGGGGGACAACAGUUGGAAACGACUGCUAAUACCGCAUACGGAAGGAGGGGAUUGAGUCUGCUUAGCUAGUUGGAGGGGUAAAGGCCCAACAAGGCGAUGAUCAGUAGACGGUCUGAGAGGAUGAACGGGCACAUUGGGAAUGGGACACGGCCCCGACUCCUACGGGGGGCAGCAGUGGGGAAUCUUCCGAAAUGGACGAAAGUCUGACGGCGCAACGCCGCGUGAGUGAUGACGGCCUUCGGGUUGUAAAGCUCUGUUAAUCGGGACGCGGUACCGGAAUAGAAAGCCACGGCUAACUACGUGCCAGCAGCCGCGGUAAUAC